rnacentral:rRNA from 1 species
UACGUAGGGCGCAAGCGUUGUCCGGAAUUAUUGGGCGUAAAGAGCUCGUAGGCGGUUUGUCGAGUCUGCUGUGAAAACCUAAGGCUCAACCUUGGGCUUGCAGUGGGUACGGGCAGACUAGAGUGCGGUAGGGGUGACUGGAAUUCCUGGUGUAGCGGUGGAAUGCGCAGAUAUCAGGAGGAACACCGAUGGCGAAGGCAGGUCACUGGGCCGCAACUGACGCUGAGGAGCGAAAGCAUGGGGAGCGAACAGG